rnacentral:tRNA from 1 species
CCAAUUUAUUAUAAUUUUUUUUAUUAUUUUGAUUUGAUUAGUCAAAGAUUAUUUGGU